UACAGAGGGUGCGAGCGUUAAUCGGAAUUACUGGGCGUAAAGCGUGCGUAGACGGUUAUUUAAGUCGGAUGUGAAAGCCCCGGGCUCAACCUGGGAAUUGCAUUCGAGACUGAAUAGCUAGGGUACGGUAGAGGGAAGCGGAAUUUCCGGUGUAGCGGUGAAAUGCGUAGAUAUCGGAAGGAACAUCAGUGGCGAAAGCGGCUUCCUGGACCAGUACCGACGUUCAGGCACGAAAGCGUGGGGAGCAAACAAG
rnacentral:rRNA from 1 species